AGUUCAAUUUCAGAUGUUUGGUGUGAUUAUUAGACUGCAGUUUUGGUUUGUUUUGAAACUUACUUGGUUUGUUUUGAAACUUACUUUGCUGUCAAUUAUGUUCAAUAUUAGUGUGAAUUUUUCCUGUUAGGACAAUUUAGUGUUUUAUUUCAUUAUUGUUAAGUUGUGCAUGCAAUCUGAAAUCUGAACAAAGUUUGAUAGUCCAAUAACAUGGUGAGUCUAUAGGCUUUCACAUUAGGUUAGACAUCAUAAUAAGGAUAAGUAGUAAUUUAGAUAAAAGUUUACAGCCGCACGAAUCACAUAUUCCCUUUAUUCUUCAGUUUCUGGUAUGUAUUUUCAUAUGAUGAUUUGGUAUAACUGAAACUUAUUAUAGUUCAUGUGUAACUAAACAUGAUAUAAGUUUUUCUAUUUAAAUUAGUUGUUGUUCUUUACAUGCCGUUGUCAACACCCUGAAUUUUACUCAUCAGGCUGCAUUCAGCCACUAAAUUUGUUCAAUCUAAUUUUA
rnacentral:lncRNA from 1 species